rnacentral:lncRNA from 1 species
GAGUUGGGCAGGCGGUAGGGGCGACCUGGAAGAAGGUCCCUGCUGCAGACGUGGAAAUGCAUCUUGUUCCAGUACAUCACAUUCCAGGGAGCAAAGAAUUCUUUUACAAAGCCGGGUGUCAUCAUUUUCUUAGAAGAAGAACCAUUGCAACAGGGCUCAAAGUUGACUCUGCUGGAAAGGCAAGGGAGAGGGAAAUGAUGAUAACAUAAACAGCCGGCUGUGUCAUUCCUUCCAUUUGUAUC